UACGUAGGGCGCGAGCGUUGUCCGGAAUUAUUGGGCGUAAAGAGCUCGUAGGCGGCCUGUCGCGUCGGUUGUGAAAGCCCGGGGCUCAACCCCGGGUCUGCAGUCGAUACGGGCAGGCUAGAGUUCGGUAGGGGAGAUCGGAAUUCCUGGUGUAGCGGUGAAAUGCGCAGAUAUCAGGAGGAACACCGGUGGCGAAGGCGGAUCGCUGGGCCGAUACUGACGCUGAGGAGCGAAAGCGUGGGGAGCGAACAGG
rnacentral:rRNA from 1 species